rnacentral:rRNA from 1 species
GAUGAACGCUGGCGGCGUGCCUAAUACAUGCAAGUCGAGCGAACAGACGAGGAGCUUGCUCCUCUGACGUUAGCGGCGGACGGGUGAGUAACACGUGGAUAACCUACCUAUAAGACUGGGAUAACUUCGGGAAACCGGAGCUAAUACCGGAUAAUAUAUUGAACCGCAUGGUUCAAUAGUGAAAGACGGUUUUGCUGUCACUUAUAGAUGGAUCCGCGCCGCAUUAGCUAGUUGGUAAGGUAACGGCUUACCAAGGCAACGAUGCGUAGCCGACCUGAGAGGGUGGUCGGCCACACUGGAACUGAGACACGGUCCAGACUCCUACGGGAGGCAGCAGUAGGGAAUCUUACGCAAUGGGCGAGAGCCUGACGGAGCAACGCCGCGUGAGUGAUGAAGGUCUUCGGAUCGUAAAACUCUGUUAUUAGUGAAGAACAAAUGUGUAAGUAACUAUGCACGUCUUGACGGUACCUAAUCAGAAAGCCACGGCUAACUACGUG